rnacentral:rRNA from 1 species
AGAGUUUGAUCCUGGCUCAGGAUGAACGCUGGCGGCGCACUUAAGACAUGCAAGUCGAACGGAAAUUUAUCUUAAGUUUACUUUAGAUAAAUUUUAGUGGCGGACGGGUGAGUAAUACGUAGGCAACCUGCCUCAAAGAGAGGGAUAACUGGGAGAAAUUUCAGCUAAUACCUCAUAAGACCACACUGCGGCAUCGCAGAGGGGUCAAAGGAGUAAUCCGCUUUGAGAUGGACCCGCGGCGCAUUAGCUAGUUGGUGAGGUAACGGCUCACCAAGGCGACGAUGCGUAGCCGACCUGAGAGGGUGAUCGGCCACAUUGGGACUGAGACACGGCCCAGACUCCUACGGGAGGCAGCAGUGGGGAAUAUUGCACAAUGGGGGAAACCCUGAUGCAGCAACGCCGCGUGAGUGAUGACGGUCUUCGGAUUGUAAAGCUCUGUCUUUGGGGACGAUAAUGACGGUACCCAAGGAGGAAGCCACGGCUAACUACGUGCCAGCAGCCGCGGUAAUACGUAGGUGGCGAGCGUUGUCCGGAUUUACUGGGCGUAAAGGGUGCGUAGGCGGUCUUUCAAGUCAGGAGUUAAAGGCUACGGCUCAACCGUAGUAAGCUCCUGAUACUGUCUGACUUGAGUGCAGGAGAGGAAAGCGGAAUUCCCAGUGUAGCGGUGAAAUGCGUAGAUAUUGGGAGGAACACCAGUAGCGAAGGCGGCUUUCUGGACUGUAACUGACGUUGAGGCUCGAAAGCGUGGGGAGCAAACAGGAUUAGAUACCCUGGUAGUCCACGCUGUAAACGAUGAAUACUAGGUGUGGGAGGACUGACCCCUUCCGUGCCGCAGUUAACACAAUAAGUAUUCCACCUGGGGAGUACGACCGCAAGGUUGAAACUCAAAGGAAUUGACGGGGGCCCGCACAAGCAGUGGAUUAUGUGGUUUAAUUCGACGCAACGCGAAGAACCUUACCAGGAUUUGACAUCCUACUAACGAAGCAGAGAUGCAUUAGGUGCCCUUCGGGGAAAGUAGAGACAGGUGGUGCAUGGUUGUCGUCAGCUCGUGUCGUGAGAUGUUGGGUUAAGUCCCGCAACGAGCGCAACCCCUAUUGUUAGUUGCUACGAAAGAGCACUCUAGCAAGACUGCCGUUGACAAAACGGAGGAAGGCGGGGACGACGUCAAAUCAUCAUGCCCCUUAUGUCCUGGGCUACACACGUAAUACAAUGGCGGUCAACAAAGGGAAGCAAUACCGCGAGGUGGAGCAAAUCCCCAAAAGCUGUCUCAGUUCGGAUUGCAGGCUGCAACUCGCCUGCAUGAAGCUGGAAUUGCUAGUAAUCGUGGAUCAGCAUGCCACGGUGAAUACGUUCCCGGGCCUUGUACUCACCGCCCGUCA